rnacentral:lncRNA from 10 species
CUACUCGGGAGGCUGAGGCAGGAGAAUGGCGUGAACCUGGGAGGCGGAGCUUGCAGUGAGCCGAGAUUGCGCCACUGCACUCCAGCCUGGGCGACAGAGCGAGACUCCGUCUCAAAAAAAAAAAAAAAAAUUCAUGGCCACCUAACAGGUAUUGACUCUGUGCUACGAAUUACCUCAUUUAAUCCUCACUACAGUCCUGUCCCCAUUAUACAGAUGAGGAAAUUGAGCCUCAAAGGGAUUAGGCAAAUUGUCCAUGGUCUCACCAGAGUGUGUAGUGUGGCCCACCACUCUCAGUUUUACUCAGCUGUAAAUUUUGUGCUCCUUCUUUUUUCACACUGUAAACAACCUGUUUGCAGCCUGUUUACACUAGAAUAGUUGUCUUGAAC